rnacentral:rRNA from 1 species
GUUCUCAGUUCGGAUCGGAGUCUGCAACCCGACUCCGUGAAGCUGGAUUCGCUAGUAAUCGCGCAUCAGCCAUGGCGCGGUGAAUACGUUCCCGGGCCUUGUACACACCGCCCGUCAAGCCAUGGGAGCCGGGGGUGCUUGAAGUGCGUCGCCGCGAGGCGCGCCCUAGAGCAAAACCGGUGACUGGGGCUAAGUCGUAACAAGGUAGC